GUGCUCUCUUGGGCAGCACACACACUAAAAUUGGAACAAUACAGAGAUUAGCAUGGCCCCUGCAUAAGGAUGACAUGCAAAUUCGUGAAGUUGAAAGGAUACAG
ensembl:snRNA U6 U6 spliceosomal RNA